UACGUAGGGUGCAAGCGUUAAUCGGAAUUACUGGGCGUAAAGCGUGCGCAGGCGGUUUGGUAAGUCAGGUGUGAAAGCCCUGGGCUUAACCUAGGAAUUGCGCUUGAGACUGGAUAGCUUGGAGUGCGGCAGAGGGAGGUGGAAUUCCACGUGUAGCAGUGAAAUGCGUAGAGAUGUGGAGGAACACCGAUGGCGAAGGCAGCCUCCUGGGCCAGCACUGACGCUCAUGCACGAAAGCGUGGGGAGCAAACAGG
rnacentral:rRNA from 1 species